CCCUUAGAUGUUCUGGGCCGCACGCGUGCUACACUGAACGGUUCAAUGGGUAAGGUAGUGCGAACGCAUGACCUAAUCUCGAAAUCCGUUCGUGCUGGGGAUAGAAGCUUGCAAUUAUCCUUCUUGAACGAGGAAUACCUUGUAAGCGUGAGUCAUCAUCUCACGCUGAAUACGUCCCUGCCCUUUGUACACACCGCCCGUCGCUCCUACCGAUUGAGUGUUCCGGUGAGGCUUUGGGAGAAUGGCCUCAACAUGAGUUUAUCGUGUUUUGCCGUUUGAACUUAGUCAAACCUUAUCACUUAGAGGAAGGAGAAGUCGUAACA
rnacentral:rRNA from 1 species